CUUGCUGGGUGGAUUAGUGGCGAACGGGUGAGUAACACGUGAGUAACCUGCCCUUGACUCUGGGAUAAGCCUGGGAAACUGGGUCUAAUACCGGAUAUGACCUUCCAUCGCAUGGUGGUUGGUGGAAAGCUUUUGUGGUUUUGGAUGGACUCGCGGCCUAUCAGCUUGUUGGUGGGGUAAUGGCCUACCAAGGCGAUGACGGGUAGCCGGCCUGAGAGGGUGACCGGCCACACUGGGACUGAGACACGGCCCAGACUCCUACGGGAGGCAGCAGUGGGGAAUAUUGCACAAUGGGCGCAAGCCUGAUGCAGCGACGCCGCGUGAGGGAUGACGGCCUUCGGGUUGUAAACCUCUUUCAGUAGGGAAGAAGCGAAAGUGACGGUACCUGCAGAAGAAGCGCCGGCUAACUACGUGCCAGCAGCCGCGGUAAUACGUAGGGCGCAAGCGUUAUCCGGAAUUAUUGGGCGUAAAGAGCUCGUAGGCGGUUUGUCGCGUCUGCUGUGAAAGACCGGGGCUCAACUCCGGUUCUGCAGUGGGUACGGGCAGACUAGAGUGAUGUAGGGGAGACUGGAAUUCCUGGUGUAGCGGUGAAAUGCGCAGAUAUCAGGAGGAACACCGAUGGCGAAGGCAGGUCUCUGGGCAUUAACUGACGCUGAGGAGCGAAAGCAUGGGGAGCGAACAGGAUUAGAUACCCUGGUAGUCCAUGCCGUAAACGUUGGGCACUAGGUGUGGGGGACAUUCCACGUUUUCCGCGCCGUAGCUAACGCAUUAAGUGCCCCGCCUGGGGAGUACGGCCGCAAGGCUAAAACUCAAAGGAAUUGACGGGGGCCCGCACAAGCGGCGGAGCAUGCGGAUUAAUUCGAUGCAACGCGAAGAACCUUACCAAGGCUUGACAUGGACUGGACCGCUCUGGAAACAGGGCUUCCCUUCGGGGCUGGUUCACAGGUGGUGCAUGGUUGUCGUCAGCUCGUGUCGUGAGAUGUUGGGUUAAGUCCCGCAACGAGCGCAACCCUCGUUCCAUGUUGCCAGCACGUAGUGGUGGGGACUCAUGGGAGACUGCCGGGGUCAACUCGGAGGAAGGUGGGGACGACGUCAAAUCAUCAUGCCCCUUAUGUCUUGGGCUUCACGCAUGCUACAAUGGCCGGUACAAUGGGUUGCGAUACUGUGAGGUGGAGCUAAUCCCAAAAAGCCGGUCUCAGUUCGGAUUGGGGUCUGCAACUCGACCCCAUGAAGUCGGAGUCGCUAGUAAUCGCAGAUCAGCAACGCUGC
rnacentral:rRNA from 1 species